rnacentral:tRNA from 1 species
GCUGGAAUGGUCUAGUUAGCGAUUACGACUGCCUUACACGCAGUGGGUACCGAGUUCAAUUCUCGUUUCCUGUA